UAGCAAGUGGUUUCAUCCAAAGGGACUUACAAAGGCAGUUAGUCAAAGCCAACAAUAUUUGUAAUAUACAAUGACAGGUUUAUUGGACAAAUACUGUAGAUAGCAUAGAUAGACAACCAUGGAAGAGGAGAAAUGCAGAGAAGAGAAAGUUUCUUGUGAGAGUGUGUGUCAUUGCAUUGUUGUAAGUUAUGCAUGCAUACAUAUGCCCCUUCGGUGCAGGUUUUUUUAAUUAUUUUUUUUUACUUCUGAAACGUCCACAUCAGUUUCCAGUUUUGCUUUUUGUUUUUGUUUUUGUAAAGUUGAACAAAAAAUAUUGUUAAUUAAAUUGCAAAAUAAGGUUUUGCAUCAAAAAUCCACUAUUAUGCAUUAGACCAGGGGUGGCGAACUCCUGUCCUGGAGAGUCGCAGCCCUGCAGAGUUCAGCUCCAACCCUAAUUAAAACUUACCUGCCUGUAGCUGUCUAGUAACCCCUUCAGACCUUGAUUAGCUUGUUCAGGUGUGUUUGAUUAGGGUUGAAGCAAAACUCUGCAGGGCUGCGGCUCUGUUCGCCACCCCUGAGGGGUAUUGCACAAAAGUAGAAUUAAGAAAGCCAGGAUAACAGAAAAGGCGCGGCUUGACCUAGUUCAAUCAGCACAUCCUGGCUUAGUCUGUUGCACAUUUGCUAAGCCAGGAUGAGAGCGUGCAGCUAUGUCAAGCCAAGUGUAGAUAGUUGGGAUAAGUGCACGUUCACGGCAUUCUGAAACAGACCACGGGAUCGAUCACAGAAUCAAUGAUGCAAAAAUGGAUAAAACCCGUAUGGCAUACUUCUCGCCAACUGAGCAACAGCUUCUAAUGGAAACAUAUGAAGAGAACAAGCGUGUCUGGCCAAAAAAGGACCUGGCAGCAAGUACAAGAACAUUUUGCAGGCUGGUAAGUGACUUGAUGUGUGAAAAAAAAAUAAAAAAUUACGUGAAUAGUGUCUGCUGCCAUAUUUUAUUGUCUGUGUUGAAUUUAGCAUUGAAAAAAAAAAGGCUCAUAUAUCUGGCAUGGGGGGUGGUCCUCCAACCCAAGACUUGACCACAGCAGAGGAGCUGGAGUUGAAUAAAGGGAAGCCAGUGAUGGAAGGGACA
ensembl:lncRNA